rnacentral:rRNA from 1 species
GAUGAACGCUGGCGGCGUGCCUAAUACAUGCAAGUCGAGCGAACGGACGAGAAGCUUGCUUCUCUGAUGUUAGCGGCGGACGGGUGAGUAACACGUGGAUAACCUACCUAUAAGACUGGGAUAACUUCGGGAAACCGGAGCUAAUACCGGAUAAUAUUUUGAACCGCAUGGUUCAUAAGUGAAAGACGGUCUUGCUGUCACUUAUAGAUGGAUCCGCGCUGCAUUAGCUAGUUGGUAAGGUAACGGCUUACCAAGGCAACGAUGCAUAGCCGACCUGAGAGGGUGAUCGGCCACACUGGAACUGAGACACGGUCCAGACUCCUACGGGAGGCAGUAGUAGGGAAUCUUCCGCAAUGGGCGAAAGCCUGACGGAGCAACGCCGCGUGAGUGAUGAAGGUCUUCGGAUCGUAAAACUCUGUUAUUAGGGAAGAACAUAUGUGUAAGUAACUGUGCACAUCUUGACGGUACCUAAUCAGAAAGCCACGGCUAACUACGUG